GACGAACGCUGGCGGCGUGCCUAAUACAUGCAAGUCGAGCGCAGGAAACUGACGGAACUCUUCGGAGGGAAGGCAGUGGAAUGAGCGGCGGACGGGUGAGUAACACGUAAGGAACCUGCCUCAAGGAUUGGGAUAACUCCGAGAAAUCGGAGCUAAUACCGGAUAGUUCAACGGACCGCAUGGUCCGCUGAUGAAAGGCGCUCCGGCGUCACCUUGAGAUGGCCUUGCGGUGCAUUAGCUAGUUGGUGGGGUAAUGGCCCACCAAGGCGACGAUGCAUAGCCGACCUGAGAGGGGGAUCGGCCACACUGGGACUGAGACACGGCCCAGACUCCUACGGGAGGCAGCAGUAGGGAAUCUUCCACAAUGGACGAAAGUCUGAUGGAGCAACGCCGCGUGAGGGAUGAAGGUUUUCGGAUCGUAAAACUCUGUUGUAAGGGAAGAACACGUACGAGAGGGAAUGCUCGUACCUUGACGGUACCUUACGAGAAAGCCACGGCUAACUACGUGCCAGCAGCCGCGGUAA
rnacentral:rRNA from 1 species